rnacentral:rRNA from 1 species
GAUUAACGCUGGCGGCGUGCAUAACACAUGCAAGUCGAACGAUGAAACUUAAAUGAUUUCUUCGGAAUGAACUUAAGUGGAUUAGUGGCGGACGGGUGAGUAACGCGUGAGUAACCUGCCUUACACAAGGGGAUAGCCGUUGGAAACGACGAAUAAUACCCUAUGAAACUAUCACUUCGCAUGAAGCGAUAGUCAAAGUGUUAGCGGUGUAAGAUGGACUUGCGUCUGAUUAGCUAGUUGGUGAGAAAAAAGCCCACCAAGGCAACGAUCAGUAGCCGGCUGGGGAGAGUGUACGGCCACAUUGGGACUGAGGCACGGCCCAGACUCCUACGGGAGGCAGCAGUGGGGAAUUUUGCACAAUGGGGGAAACCCUGAUGCAGCGACGCCGCGUGAUUUAGAAGGCCUUCGGGUUGUAAAAAUCUUUUGUAUAGGAAGAAAAUGACAGUACUGUACGAAUAAGGUCCGGCUAAUUACGUG